CAAGGUAAAUAAUUCCCAUUCUCUUAUUUCUUCUCACAAUUUCCGAAUCAAGAGACACCAAACUCUCUUUCUCAAACUCUCGUCUCCUUCAACUCCACCACAACACCGCCCCUCCGUCGCCAUCCUUUGCGGAAACUCCAGGCGUUCAUCGCCGCUGCCGCUGCCUCUCCGUCGCCUCCUCAGCUCACCGGCGUGAUACUGGCCAUUCACGCCAGCACAAAGAAUGGAAGAAGUUGCCGCCGCCGCCAUGCUUCAAGUUCUAUUUGAAACCCUCAAGAAUGAGGUCUCACUUGUUCGAGGUUUCAGAAAUGAAGCACAACAGUUAACUCAGAAUCUGGACAUGAUCCAGAAAUUCUUGAGUGAUGCAGAGAUGGGCUCCAUCCCCGGUGAGGCUGUCAAGAAGUGGCUCUCGGAUCUUGGAGACGUGGGGUUCGAUGCUGACAUGAUCCAGAAAUUCCCAUAUCCCCCACAUCUGUAUUGAUGGACGAUGGACCCACGUCGAUAGGUGAGUUUGAAUAUCUUUUAUUGGUUUGUAUUUUAUAAAUGAAUAUUGGUCUCUAAAAUCAUGAACAUUGGCCAAAUUUUGGUAUUUUCCACAAACUUUCAAAUUUUCUUCGAUAUCACAAAUUUAAGUAUGAUAAAAAAAUGCACAUAAUGUAAAGUUUAUUACUAAUAUUUAAGACCAAUUUUAAAGUGCAUGGGAAAUACCAAAAUCUGGUCUACGUUUAUGAUUUUAAGAACCAAUAUCCCUUUUAUAAACAGUUGCAUGUCUAUUUCCUCGUCACCACCAGAUUACCUUCACUUAUUAAUUUAUAGGAACAAUUACAUAUGUACAUUUGUGUAAACGAUCUACCCCAUAAUCACGACUAAUGCCUCCAAUCCCAAAGCUGGUAACUAUAAUUACACCUUUGUCUAAGUUCUAAUUUUAAAAAAUUGUCUCUACUAAAAGCUUACUCAUUCUAUGCCUCCAAUCCCAAAGCUGGUAACUAUAAUCAGUGGCGGACACAGUAAGGAGCAGUGAGGGGCUUAAGCCCUUCCCAAAAAAUUUUUUAAAUGUUUUUCUUCUUCUAAAUUUCUUAAAAUUUUCAAAAUUUAUCCAUAGCCUUUCCUAAAAUUUUGCCGUAGGAGAGCAUAUUGUCGAGUGUUGAUGAGUGGAAGGGGCUGAAAAAUCUGAAAAUUGGAGAGUUGCAGAAAAAAAAAUGGAUGCCACAACUUGCAACUUGAAGAAGACGACUAGUUGUAAUGUAAAUUAUUAUUAUAAUAAAAUAUCGCACACUCUCCUAAAUGGGGAUGAUCUCUGAAUAUAAUAAUGUUAUAAAAUGUGACGUGUCUUGACCGUAAACGUGUAGAAGAGUAAUUAUACUCCACAGUACUUCUUAGUUUGUGGUAUAAAUGCUUAAAAAUCUAUCCCUUAUUGCUUCAAUAAGCCUAGAUUAAAACAAUCCAGAUUCAUUAUUUUUUAUCACGACAAUUUUUGGCGGUUGGCUUUAGUAAUUUUAAAAUUUCUCUUAUAAUUUUCUUGUGAAUUCUAUUAUACAAAAAUUGAUUUUUAAUAAUUCUUUAUAUUUAUUUAAUUAUAAAAACUUGACAAUAAAAAGUAGAGUUUGUAGUUUGGUCCGGUAGGUUCAAAGCAACUACUAUUAUGUAUCCUAUUUUAAUUUUUAUUAUAUAAAAUACAUUCUUUCGUUCAUGAAAUAAUAUCAGAUUUUAUCAUUUUGAUACGCCUGCAAUUUAAAAUCGGAUUCAUAUUUUUGGAUAAGCGAACCCGAAACUCUACUAAAUCAUUAUAUUUAUAUUUCAUUAUAAAACCAAUAUGUAAAAGUGAGACGUUUAUUCCGUUGACUUCCCCCCCCCCCCCACAGCGGGACUUUAAAUUUGGACGGAUAAAGUAAGAGUAUAGCACCUGCCAAAAUAAAUUUCUGCGUCCGCCACUGACUAUAAUUACACCUUUGUCUAAGUUCUAAUUAAAAAAAUUGUCUCUACUAAAAGCUUACUCAUUCUAUGCCUCACAGAAAAUAUGACAUUGUGUUGUUUUGAUUUCGGUACUACUAGGUUGGAGCCGGUCUUUUCAAAGCAGAUAUCCAAUUAUAUCUCAUUAUUUUAGGAUUUUAAUAAAAAUGUUUCAUCCUAAUGGGUAUUGCGAAAAAAUAACAUGUUGUUGGGUUUAAAAUGUUUUGCGGUUGAAUUUCUUUUGCAAUUACCUUAGGGUGAACAUUUUCUUUUAAACGUUAAAAUUAUAGGACAAAAUUGAAUAUUUAGAUAAGUUGCAUGCUUAAUCCCAAAUGGUUCCUCACAGAAGCUAUGUGUAGAACAAAAUAGGGUUUUUGUGCAAAGGAACGAGAUCAAUUUUGGACUUUAAAGCACGGUUGACCAUUAGUUUUUUACGAAACUGUUAAAUAUGAACCAAAACAUAUUGUUUAGGAUCAAAUUAGAACCACAAAAGUUUCUUUGAGCGAAGGUACGACACUAAUUUUAUACUUUAGUCUUAUAUCUACCAUGUUUUAUAGUAUAAGAAACUGCAUAUCACUAAUAUUAUCUAAUGUAUUAUACAAGGUUGUCCUGGUCAGUAUUUACUUUUAUCUAUAUUUUUGUUUACUUGGUGUGUUCUCUUUAACGGAAAUUAGUGGAUGAUAUAUAUUCUUCACUCUUUUAACAUAUAUUGUUAGGUGAAUAAUUUUUCUCGAACUCAUAUUAAUAUGAAUAUAUUAUUCUCUCUCUCCACCUAACACACAAAACAACAUCUUCUAAAAUCUCGUAUCAUUUCCCAAUGUGCUAUCUAUUAUGGGACAGAAGUAGUACUAUAUUUUAAUGUGAUUUGCUAUUGUGUCGUGGUCUUGUUUACUUGUUAUUGUACUCCUGUUAUCCCCCCGUCUAACAUAUUUGACAAUCACUGGUGUUCCUCAAUGCAUGACCACUUGUUUUGUUGAGAUUCCGCCUCCUUUUAGUAGCUUGGCAUGGUUAACCAUAGAUGCUAGUGUGGGGGGAUUAAUGGAGACUGUUAAUGGCAUAUUGCAAGGAUGCAGCUCGCUUAAUGUCUUACAAUUGAAGGGGAUGGAAAGUUGGGAAAAUCUACCGGAAUCGAUUCAAUAUCUCUCUACUCUUUCUUAUUUAAACUUGAUGAAUUUUGGAAUGGAAGAGUUACCUGAAUGGUUGGGGAACUUGUCAUCUCUAAGGGAGUUGCGUAUACAAAAUUGUAAGAAGUUAAGGCAUAUGGAUGCAAUGCGGCGCCUCACUGAAUUAGUCAGCUUAUAUAUAUAUUGAGGGAUGCCCAGAAAUAUGUGUUGAAGAAGCAAGUGAUGCAGCUGAUUCUCAAUGGCCCAACAUUUCCCAUCUCCCCGACAUCCAUAUUGAUGGACGCCUCAUCCAUCAUGAUGAGGAAGCUCGUGUUUGAGUUUGAGUUGCUUCGAGUGAGGUGGUGAAGGAGUGUGUGCCCAUUAAUUUUCUCCAACUUGAUGUCAACAUUCUUCAAAUUCCCACCGGUUUGGCAAUUGUUUGCUUUGUGUGUCUCUCACGCCGCAGUGGUGGCAGAAGGAGAUCAAGUAAAGACUUGUGUUAGAGUCAUGUCUGAAUUUGCUUACCAACAAACUUUGACCAUUGUAAUCAUUUAAUCCCUGUUUGUUGCAUGAAAAUUGUAAUGUGUAAGGUAUUUUAAGAUGUUUGGAUGGUUUCGUUGUAUUUUAUCGAAAAAGAUCCUCUGUUUUGUCUGACUACUAGAUUAUUGUCACUUUAAUUUAGUGAUGGAUUCAUAACUUCGA